UAGAUCCAGACGCUGGCGAAC
rnacentral:snRNA from 1 species